rnacentral:rRNA from 1 species
GACGAACGCUGGCGGCGUGCUUAACACAUGCAAGUCGAACGGAAAGGCCCUGCUUUUGUGGGGUGCUCGAGUGGCGAACGGGUGAGUAACACGUGAGUAACCUGCCCUUGACUUUGGGAUAACUUCAGGAAACUGGGGCUAAUACCGGAUAGGAGCUCCUGCUGCAUGGUGGGGGUUGGAAAGUUUCGGCGGUUGGGGAUGGACUCGCGGCUUAUCAGCUUGUUGGUGGGGUAGUGGCUUACCAAGGCUUUGACGGGUAGCCGGCCUGAGAGGGUGACCGGCCACAUUGGGACUGAGAUACGGCCCAGACUCCGACGGGAGGCAGCAGUGGGGAAUAUUGCACAAUGGGCGGAAGCCGGAUGCAGCAACGCCGCGUGCGGGAGGACGGCCUUCGGGUUGUAAACCGCUUUCGCCUGUGACGAAGCGUGAGUGACGGUAAUGGGUAAAGAAGCACCGGCUAACUACGU